rnacentral:rRNA from 1 species
GAUGAACGCUGGCGGCGUGCCUAAUACAUGCAAGUCGAGCGAACAGACGAGGAGCUUGCUCCUCUGACGUUAGCGGCGGACGGGUGAGUAACACGUGGAUAACCUACCUAUAAGACUGGGAUAACUUCGGGAAACCGGAGCUAAUACCGGAUAACAUGUUGAACCGCAUGGUUCAAUAGUGAAAGACGGUUUUGCUGUCACUUAUAGAUGGAUCCGUGCCGCAUUAGCUAGUUGGUAAGGUAACGGCUUACCAAGGCAACGAUGCGUAGCCGACCUGAGAGGGUGAUCGGCCACACUGGAACUGAGACACGGUCCAGACUCCUACGGGAGGCAGCAGUAGGGAAUCUUCCGCAAUGGGCGAAAGCCUGACGGAGCAACGCCGCGUGAGUGAAGAAGGUCUUCGGAUCGUAAAACUCUGUUAUUAGGGAAGAACAAAUGUGUAAGUAACUAUGCACGUCUUGACGGUACCUAAUCAGAAAGCCACGGCUAACUACGUG